GGUCCUAAAGGGCCGUUGGAGACCACAACGUUGAUAGGUGGGGUGUGUAAGCGUAGCGAUACGUUGAGCUAACCCAUACUAAUUACCCGUGAGGCUUAACCAUACAACACCCAAGAAGUGUUC
rnacentral:rRNA from 1 species